rnacentral:rRNA from 1 species
CCUGGCGGCGAUAGUGCGGUGGACCCACCUGAGACCAUACCGAACUCAGAAGUGAAACGCUGUAAUGCCGAUGGUAGUGUGGGG